rnacentral:rRNA from 1 species
UACGGAGGGUGCAAGCGUUAAUCGGAAUUACUGGGCGUAAAGCGCGCGUAGGCGGCUUGGUCAGUUGGGUGUGAAAUCCCCGGGCUUAACCUGGGAACUGCAUUCAAUACUGCCAGGCUAGAGUAUGGGAGAGGGUAGUGGAAUUCCACGUGUAGCGGUGAAAUGCGUAGAUAUGUGGAGGAACACCCGUGGCGAAGGCGACUGCCUGGCCCAAUACUGACGCUGAGGUGCGAAAGCGUGGGGAGCGAACAGGAUUAGAUACCCUUGUA